rnacentral:lncRNA from 1 species
AGAGCAAGGAGAGAUUUUUUUUCCUUCUCUGGGAGGCCGAACCAAGGAGGAGGCCUCUCUGUGUUCCAUGAUGGCUCUCGCAGCCCAAUUCCGUCCCCUCCUGUCUUGCUCACUCCAUCUACCGGGAGAGCCGCUCUCCUCGUCAGCUCUGCUGGCCGGCGCCCCUCUCCGGCACUCGCUGGCCGUUGUUCCAGGUUGGUUGCUUUCUCCUUCGCUUCUGGACCACAGUGUGGAGAUUAUGCACAUCCUGCCGUCUUGUGAAGAUGGCGAUCUCAUCUUCUCGUGCACAGUACGCGGAAGGCAUGUGCUGAUGUUUCCCCUGCGAAUACUAGCAGCUUAAAGUUGUCUUCCACUGAGGAACUGUAUGAAACAGUGUUGAAAUUAGAGUGAGGAGGAUGUAAACAGCAACUGCGAAGGUUAUUGAUGUUUCCUCCUUUGGCGAAAUCCUUCUCUACACCUUGUUCAGUCUUCAGAUGCCAUCACAAAAGUUCUCUACUAAUUUCAGUCUCAUUGUCUAGUAUCGUUAGUAGCAUGCUUGCUCGAUAAGGGGGGCGCCUAGUUUAGGGUCGGAGAGACGUUCUUCUCUCAUUCAGGCAAAACUGAAUGCGUAGCAUGCUAUUUUAAUAAUCUGUUUAUUGAACACGAUGAUGAUGCGGGCCAGUGAUGAUUCUAAAGCCUAGGGGAUGUGGAUGCUCGUUUUCUCACCUGGUACUGAACUGGGG